GACGAACGCUGGCGGCGUGCUUAACACAUGCAAGUCGAACGGAAAGGCCCUGCUUUUGUGGGGUGCUCGAGUGGCGAACGGGUGAGUAACACGUGAGUAACCUGCCCUUGACUUUGGGAUAACUUCAGGAAACUGGGGCUAAUACCGGAUAGGAGCUCCUGCUGCAUGGUGGGGGUUGGAAAGUUUCGGCGGUUGGGGAUGGACUCGCGGCUUAUCAGCUUGUUGGUGGGGUAGUGGCUUACCAAGGCUUUGACGGGUAGCCGGCCUGAGAGGGUGACCGGCCACAUUGGGACUGAGAUACGGCCCAGACUCCUACGGGAGGCAGCAGUGGGGAAUAUGGCACAAUGGGCGGAAGCCUGAUGCAGCAACGCCGCGUGCGGGAUGACGGUCUUCGGGUUGUAAACCGCUUUCGCCUGUGACGAAGCGUGAGUGACGGUAAUGGGUAAAGAAGCACCGGCUAACUACGUG
rnacentral:rRNA from 1 species